UACUUCCACUUCUUUCAAAUCUACUAUUGACAAUGACCAAAGGAGGAGGAGAAAGAGGAUAAACCUCAGAAGGAAAAAGAACAAAUGCAGAACAUACUAGACAGAAACCGCAGCAAAGAACAAAAUUAGACAGAAAUUGCGGAGAAUUUCGACUUAUCUGCUGCAUAUUUUUCUCAAUACUAAAGUGCCUAUACACAAGUUACAAACUGCAAAGCUAAAAAUCUUAGCUAAUAUCAGAUAUACUUAUAUAAUUACCACUACUUUCAAACUUGGUCUACUAACUUAAAACAUAAUCUGACAAUCAAACGUCAUAAACUAAGUCCAAUUUAGAUAAUUUUAUGUCAAACUUCAACUAUCCCCCUUGAUUAAAAAGGGCAUACACCAAGCAAUACAAAAGUAAAUAUGCUUUCGAGUCACUAUUUAAGGUUGAUCGGUUUCUCAAAACUGAGGGACAACAUUGGUUAAAACUGACACAGUCCGUUGAGUUGGUUUCAGCGGAGGAGCAAGUGGAUUUCAGGGAGGAGAAAUAUUCUUAUCAACUAUACAUUGAAUUGUUGAAGCAUCAUUGAGUUAGAACCCAUAUUUACCCAUAUUCUUAUGGGUUAUAUAUGGGCUUCAACCUAUAUUUUACCCAUCGAUAAAAGGGCAACUCGCAGAGAUAAUUGUUAUGAAAAUAUUAAUGUGUAGAUGUCUAUUACUCCUCUACAUAUAAUUCCCACUAUUUCAUGUUCAUAACUCUUGUAGAUGUAAUCCCCAUUACUUUAUGACCACUACUCCCACACUUUAUUUCUAUAACCCCAAAUAGUUACUACCCAUAUUUAUGAUACAUCCUUUGGUGUUCUCAAUGUAUUCCUAUAUAUAGUUGGGUUAUAUGUAAUAGUUGGUGACUUGAACACAUUUUGGAUGAAUAAGAAAUCUCUCCUCUCGUCUCUCUA